AGAGUUUGAUCCUGGCUCAGAAUGAACGCUGGCGGCGUGCUUAACACAUGCAAGUCGCACGAGAACUCUUUAGCUUGCUAAAGAUAGUAAAGUGGCGCACGGGUGAGUAACGCGUGGGUAAUCUACCUUCGAAUCGGGGAUAACAUUGCGAAAGCGAUGCUAAUACCGGAUGACAUCGCAUCAUCUUCGGAAGUUGCGAUCAAAGGUGGCCUCUUCGAGAAAGCUACCGUUUGGAGAUGAGCCCGCGUACCAUUAGCUUGUUGGUAGGGUAACGGCCUACCAAGGCUGCGAUGGUUAGCUGGUCUGAGAGGAUGAUCAGCCACACUGGAACUGACACACGGUCCAGACUCCUACGGGAGGCAGCAGUGAGGAAUUUUGCGCAAUGGGGGAAACCCUGACGCAGCAACGCCGCGUGAGUGAUGAAGGCCUUCGGGUCGUAAAGCUCUGUCAAGUGGGAAGAAACUGAGAAAUGCCAACACCAUUUUUCACUGACGGUACCACUGAAGGAAGCACCGGCUAACUCCGUGCCAGCAGCCGCGGUAAUACGGGGGGUGCAAGCGUUAUUCGGAAUUAUUGGGCGUAAAGGGCGCGUAGGCGGCCUCUUAAGUCAGAUGUGAAAGCCCGGGGCUUAACCUCGGAAGUGCAUUUGAAACUGAGGGGCUUGAGUAUGGGAGAGGGAAGUGG
rnacentral:rRNA from 1 species